CUUUGUUGUCACAGGCUUCAGGUUUCUUCCAAACCACUUAGAAAGAUGUGAUGGAGAACUUGAAGCCCACACUCAUAAAAUGCUUGAUUUCUCCUGGCCUCUGCCUGUUGUGCAUCUCCAGAGUGCCAGGCUUAGCUGCUGCAGCUACAGCAAGCUCACUAAUUGGCACGGCACCUGCAAUCAAUUAGGGAAGCUUCAAUUACCCAAACCAAAGCCACCCACCCAAAGAUUAAUUUUCUGCUCUAUUUCCUAUCAAAAACAUAGCAUAUUUAGCUUGGAGUCCAGUCCUUCAGUGGAGUGUUUUUAGCCACCGUUUUCCUGAUAACUGUGCCUGUCCCUUCUUUGCAGCAGCGCUCCCCUUGUAAUGUCGUCACACCCACCAGCUCUUCAAAACUGUUCUUUCUGUUGUGCGUGUCCUUUCUAAAAUGCUGAGAUCACAGGGAAAAGAUGUUGGUUGAGAGCUUUUUGUUUGAAGUGUGGCUUUUUUUUUUAUGUCUAGGAUCUAUUUUCUACAACCUAAAAGCUUUAAGCAAUGACAUCCCUGAAUUGAAUCACACUCCAAAAUACGCCUUGUAAUUGGCCCAUGUAAAUAGAAAAAAAAAAAAAA
rnacentral:lncRNA from 1 species